GAUGAACGCUGGCGGCGUGCCUAAUACAUGCAAGUCGAGCGAACAGACGAGGAGCUUGCUGCUCUGACGUUAGCGGCGGACGGGUGAGUAACGCGUGGAUAACCUACCUAUAAGACUGGGAUAACUUCGGGAAACCGGAGCUAAUACCGGAUAAUAUAUUGAACCGCAUGGUUGAAUGGUGAAAGACGGUUUUGCUGUAACUUAUAGAUGGAUCCGCGCCGCAUUAGCUAGUUGGUAAGGUAACGGCUUACCAAGGCAACGAUGCGUAGCCGACCUGAGAGGGUGAUCGGCCACACGGGAACUGGGACACGCUCCAGACUCCUACGGGAGGCAGCAGUAGGCAACGUGACGCAAUGGGCGAAAGCCUGACGGAGCAACGCCGCGUGAGUGACGAAGGUCUUCGGAUCGUAAAACUCUGUUAUUAGGUAAGAACAAAUGUGUAAGUAACUAUGCACGUCUUGACGGUACCUAAUCAGAAAGCCACGGCUAACUACGUG
rnacentral:rRNA from 1 species